rnacentral:tRNA from 1 species
GACUCUGUAGUGAAGUUCAUGUUGAGUUGCAAACUCAUUGAUAUGUGUUUGAAGCACAUCAGAGUCU